rnacentral:rRNA from 1 species
CCCUUAGAUGUUCUGGGCCGCACGCGCGCUACACUGACGAUGGCAACGAGUUUUUCCUUCGCCGAAAGGUGUGGGUAAUCUUUUGAAACAUCGUCGUGCUGGGGAUAGAUCAUUGCAAUUUUUGAUCUUGAACGAGGAAUUCCUAGUAAGCGCGAGUCAUCAGCUCGCGUUGAUUACGUCCCUGCCCUUUGUACACACCGCCCGUCGCUACUACCGAUUGAAUGGUUUAGUGAGGACUCCUGAUUGGCGCCGCCGCCCCGGCAACGGAGCAGCGGACUGCCGAAAAGUUGUUCAAACUUGAUCCUUUAGAGGAAGUAAAAGUCGUAACA